GGCUGCAUAGUGUAGGGGUUAUCACAUCAGAUUUUGAUUCUGGGAACCCCGGUUCGAAUCGGGGUGCGGCCU